GAACCUCUUCCCUGGCCCGCUCAUGCCCACCCACCCCUGAGCCCCGGAUCACGCAGUGGGUGUCUCUCGCGAGAGCUCAUCGGCGCCCGCUGUGCAUUGGGAGGCUCACGUCCCCACCCUCGGGCUUUCCAAGGUGCCGCGCCAGGGGUUGCUGAGGUAGAGGUGGCUCCCCUGCUCCUCCUUCCACCUCUCCGAUUCCACCUCCUCCUCGCACCCCGCUGGGAACUCCUCCAGGGGCUGAGAUUGGAUUCACCGAGCCUGGCGCGCGGCGAUGGGAUAUGAACCAGUCACUGCCUUUGUGCUUUCCUCCUCUCUCCGCUGCCCCGGUCAACCAGCGGAGAGUGGGGAACUGCGGGCAGGUCGGCGGAGUUAGAUGGCAGCAAAGGUGGGCCGGCUUGGUGUGAUAAAGUUCCAACUGGGUCCUUCCGCGAGCCCUGGGUCCAUAAGAUGUCAUCGGCGAGCGCUGGACUUGACCGUCAACUUGGGAUUGUUAAGGUACUGUAUGGAUGGUCAAGUGCUGGAAAGAAAAAAAAAUGGCCCAUAAAUUUGUUUGGUUUCACAAGAGACAUGGGAGACCAAAUAACGCACGAUGAGUACUUUUCUAAAUAUCCUGUUUAUUCUCCCAACGGGGCUCAUAAAAAUACGGAUGCAUUCAGUGGGUUGAGAGAUCUCUGUGCAGUCGUGACCCUGCAAUUAUAUUUGACAAGGGUGGUGAUGACAGAUGGGUGGCACAGAAGCCUACCCUUCUUUGGCACCAAUUGAGCAUGGUGACAACAGAUUCAAAAUGGCCUGUGUCUGAACUUGAUGGUCCUGUUUUUCUGCUCUGGUCUUUAGGAAUGAGGGGAGCCUUCCCGAGUUCCGCCAUUUCCUUGCAUUUUUCUUUUUACAUAUAUUCGUUCACUUAUUUAUUUACUAAUUUAUUUUAAAUAGAGUCUUGUUCUGUAGCCCAGGCUGUGGGGUUUUUUUGGCUGGCUGCAAUCUCCACCUCCCUGGUUCCAGCAAUUCUCCUGCCACAGCCUCCUGAGUAGCUGGGAUUACAGGUGUAUGCCACCCUGCUCACCUAACUUUUGUUUUUUUAGUAGAGACAGGGUUUCACCAUGUUGCCCAGGCUGACCUUCAGGGAUCUGCCUGCCUCAGUCUCCCAAAGUGCUGGGAUAACAGGUGUGAGUCACCGCGCCCAGCCUAAAUUGCAAUUUUUCAAAAUAAAUGUUUUGUUUUGCUUUUUUUAAAAGUAGGUCAUCACCUAGUGACCACUGUUAUUGAAAGGCCACUGUUAUUGAAAGUGGCCACUGUUAUUUAAAGGUGGCACUGAGGGCCGCCUGGCCACUUCACAGAGCCUGGGGCAACUGCUUUCUCUCCUUCCCUUCUGGAGGCCCCUCCCUCUCUCCCUCACUGCCUAGGGAACUUCCAUCCUGGUGCGGACCCUGUUGUUCUUUUAUCCCUCUAGGUAAAUGGUGUCUCCUUCUGUCGCCAAGGCGGUGGCAUGGUCUCGGCUGGCUGCAAUCUCCACCUCCUUGCUUCCAGCGAUUCUCCUGCCUCAGCCCCCCGAGUAGCAGAAAUUACAGGAGUUUCAUGGCAGGGCGCUUGGCUGGCUUGUUUAAAUUCAUUCUGAAUAAGAACUGAGGAUGUCAGCUUCUGGCCUCAUGGACUCUGGACUGAAGAGUCCCCUUGUCUAUCUAUCAUGAGACUGUACACAACCCAGAGUUGAUCUCUGCACCACGCCAUCACUGCUGGUGGUGAGGAAAUGGUGCCUCUUUCAGUGAUAUGAAGUUAAAACCAGGAGGGAAGAUCAGUGGAGCCUUCUUUCUGCCAUCUUGUGUUACCUUUGCAGCCAAGAAUCAGAAUGAAGAACUUUCAAUAAGAAAAGCUUUCAGAACCAGGAAGGACGUAGAAGAUGUCCUGGUUCUGUACGUUUAACAUUGGACUGUUUCUUCAACUUAGGUGCAUAACAGUGACUAAUCAGGGAUUAUCAUAGAUAAUUUGACUUGGAAUAUAGAGUUCAUUCAAAUACUUUAUCUAGACAAUUUAAGUACUGGCUGAUUUGGCAUGAAAAUCUGACAAACUAUUUUCUUGGUAUUCAAUUGAUUUUUACUCUGUUUGCUGUAGUAGUUUUAUAAACCAAUCAGUCUUCAUUAAAGUUCUGGGAAUUCUUACCCUGUUCAAAUGAUAUGAUUCUAACGUUGUCAAAAAUCUGUAUUCAAGAAUACUUCUCAGGACCUUUUCCAUCCUUUCAUGAAACUCCUUAAAGAUACAGUAUUCUAUAAUUUUGCAAGCUUGUAAAGUUUUCAGAAUUUGAAAUGCCUCACAAUUAAGCAAUUUACUGUAGAAAUGAUUUUAAAUUUUCAUAGACACAGUUGACAAGAAAAUUUUAUUAUUUACAGGAGUGACCCACCACACCAGGCCUCUGAAGUUCAUUUAAUAAAAUUUUAUAAAUAAAUUU
rnacentral:lncRNA from 1 species